rnacentral:tRNA from 1 species
GCCUGGAUGGCUCAGUCAGUUAAGCAUCUGACUUUGGCUCAGGUCAUGAUCUCACAGUUCAUGGGUUCAAGCCCCAUGUCGGGCU